GACCAAGGAGUCUAACAUGUAUGCGAGUCAUUGGGAAAAACUAAACCCAAAGGCGGAAUGAAAGUGAAGAUCCUUUAUUAGGGAUAUGAGGAGAGAUCAUGGCUUUGAUUUAUAGUAUUCCGUAAGGUUUAUUGUACAAGGUAUGCGCAUCUCCUGGACGUCUUAACCUUUGAAGGAAGGGCGUACCUAGAGCAUACACGUUGGGACCCGAAAGAUGGUGAACUAUGCCUGGUCAGAACGAAGUCAGGGGAAACCCUGAUGGAGGUUCGUAGCGAUUCUGACGUGCAAAUCGAUCGUCGGAAC
rnacentral:rRNA from 1 species